UAAGGAAUAUUGGUCAAUGGACGCAAGUCUGAACCAGCCAUGCCGCGUGGAGGAUGAAGGUCCUCUGGAUUGUAAACUUCUUUUAUCUGGGACGAAACACUUCUUUUCUAAGAGGCCUGACGGUACCAGAUGAAUAAGCACCGGCUAACUCCGUGCCAGCAGCCGCGGUAAUACGGAGGGUGCAAGCGUUAUCCGGAUUCACUGGGUUUAAAGGGUGCGUAGGUGGGUAUGUAAGUCAGUGGUGAAAUCCCCGAGCUUAACUUGGGAACUGCCGUUGAUACUAUAUAUCUUGAAUGCCGUAGAGGUAAGCGGAAUAUGUCAUGUAGCGGUGAAAUGCUUAGAUAUGACAUAGAACACCAAUUGCGAAGGCAGCUUACUAUGCGGUUAUUGACACUGAGGCACGAAAGCGUGGGUAGCAAACA
rnacentral:rRNA from 1 species